GAUGAACGCUGGCGGCGUGCCUAAUACAUGCAAGUCGAGCGAACAGACGAGGAGCUUGCUCCUCUGACGUUAGCGGCGGACGGGUGAGUAACACGUGGAUAACCUACCUAUAAGACUGGGAUAACUUCGGGAAACCGGCGCUAAUACCGGAUAAUAUAUUGAACCGCAUGGUUCAAUAGUGAAAGACGGUUUUGCUGUCACUUAUAGAUGGAUCCGCGCCGCAUUAGCUAGUUGGUAAGGUAACGGCUUACCAAGGCAACGAUGCGUAGCCGACCUGAGAGGGUGAUCGGCCACACUGGAACUGAGACACGGUCCACACUCCUACGGGAGGCCGCAGUAGGGAAUCUUCCGCAAUGGGGGAAAGCUUGACGGAGCGACGCCGCGUGAGUGAUGAAGGUCUUCGGAUCGUAAAACUCUGUUAUUAGGGAAGAACAAAUGUGUAAGUAACUAUGCACGUCUUGACGGUACCUAAUCAGAAAGCCACGGCUAACUACGUG
rnacentral:rRNA from 1 species